rnacentral:tRNA from 2 species
GCCCCUCUAGCUCAACGGGAGAGCCCCUGCCUUACACGCAGGUCGUUGGGAGUUCGACUCUCUCCAGGGGUA